AUUUCAACAUGGGAAACUGAAAUUGAGUAGCAUCCCUUGGAGAAAAGCUGUCCUUUGGUGAAGAAUUAAAAAAUGUACUGACCCCCACCCAUCGCUAAGAGAGUUCUGGGUCCUCAGCUUUCAUUGUUCAGCCAGUGGGCUUUGUGGGCGACACUGCAGGGCCCCUCUUGCUGGAAAUCCUCUGAGCUUCCUGAUUUCCACUCCUGCAUAAACCUCCUCCCCCAUCACUACCUUUGUCUCUUUGGGGGAAAAAAAACCUUUUUCACUCGAGCAAAAUAAAAACUACCCAGUAUUUGUUUCUGGAGUGUAAUUAUAAACUUCAUUGUACAUUCUUCCUGGCUUUGAUGCUUAUCUUGAAGAGUUCAGUGAAAAUAAAUUGUUUUUAUGAAA